rnacentral:siRNA from 1 species
UACAAUAUAGUACUUCCUCUCCC